rnacentral:rRNA from 1 species
AUUGAACGCUGGCGGCAGACCUAACACAUGCAAGUCGAACGGUAACAGAAAGUAGCUUGCUACUUUGCUGACGAGUGGCGGACGGGUGAGUAAUGUCUGGGGAUCUGCCUGAUGGAGGGGGAUAACUACUGGAAACGGUAGCUAAUACCGCAUAAUGUCGCAAGACCAAAGCGGGGGACUUUCGGGCCUCGCACCAUCAGAUGAACCCAGAUGGGAUUAGCUAGUAGGUAGGGUAAUGGCUUACCUAGGCGACGAUCCCUAGCUGGUCUGAGAGGAUGACCAGCCACACUGGAACUGAGACACGGUCCAGACUCCUACGGGAGGCAGCAGUGGGGAAUAUUGCACAAUGGGCGCAAGCCUGAUGCAGCCAUGCCGCGUGUAUGAAGAAGGCCUUCGGGUUGUAAAGUACUUUCAGUCAGGAGGAAGGGUGUGAAAUUAAUACUUUCAUGCAUUGACGUUACUGACAGAAGAAGCACCGGCUAACUCCGUGCCAGCAGCCGCAGUAACAC